GGCAAGAUGGCCGAGCGGUCUAAGGCGCUACGUUCAGGUAUUCAGUUUCGGCUGGUUACUAGGUUUCGUAGUCUCGAAAGAGGCGCGAGUUCGAAUCUCGUUCUUGUCA
rnacentral:tRNA from 1 species